rnacentral:tRNA from 8 species
GGGCGAGUGGCGGAACUGGCAGACGCGCAGGUCUCAGAAGCCUGUCCCGAAAGGGGUGGAGGUUCAACUCCUCUCUCGCCCA